GACGAACGCUGGCGGCGUGCUUAACACAUGCAAGUCGAACGGCAGCGGGAGAGAGCUUGCUCUCUUGCCGGCGAGUGGCGAACGGGUGAGUAACGCGUAGGGAUCUGCCUGUUAGAGGGGGAUAAGCCGAGGAAACUUGGACUAAUACCGCAUACGCUCUGAGGAGGAAAGCACGGGACAGUAAAAUGCCGUGCGCUAACAGAUGAACCUGCGUUAGAUUAGCUAGUUGGUAGGGUAAAGGCCUACCAAGGCGACGAUCUAUAGCUGGUCUGAGAGGAUGACCAGCCACACUGGAACUGAGAUACGGACCAGACUCCUACGGGAGGCAGCAGUGGGGAAUAUUGGACAAUGGGGGGAACCCUGAUCCAGCGAUGCCGCGUGUGUGAAGAAGGCCUGAGGGUUGUAAAGCACUUUAGUUGGGGAGGAAAGGCUCUCUUCUAACAGGAGAGAGAAAAGACGUUACCCAAAGAAUAAGCACCGGCUAACUCUGUGCCAGCCGCCGCAGUAA
rnacentral:rRNA from 1 species